rnacentral:lncRNA from 1 species
GAGUUUUUAAUUUUUAGCAAGUCUUCCAUUGUCUUCAGUGGGGCAAGAGGAAUCCUGGCAGCUCACAUAUUCAUACAAAUGUUUCAUGAGAUAUUCCAAGACACCAGUUGUGAUGAUGAGGCUCUAUAAUUCAACUAGGGGACAAUUAAAGGUAGGUCUAAGUUACUGGGAUUCGGGUGUAAGUUUUGGAUAUUAGCAUGUGCUGGAUAAAAGUAUUUUUCAAGUUUUUUCUUGUUCAUGGUUGAAUAUGUCUGAAGUAAAAAAUUACUGCAACCAUUUUGGAAAUAUAACUAAAUGAUUUCACAAGAGGUAGAAUUUUGAGAAAGAAGAUUGUAUAAUAUUUGUAUUUCUUUUCUAUUGUAUAACCUCUGUAAAAUUACAGUAUAUAUGUACAACUGCGAUGCCAAUAGUUAACAGCUGAUGAUAUUAAGAACAGUAACUCUAGUUUUUAUCAUAUGCCUGGAGAGGGUUUCAAGGCCUUCUUCAAGAUCUUGGAUGCUCAACUCUGAGCUUUGAAGCUCCUUUUGCACGUUCUCGACAUGCUUCAUGUUUUCGGAUUUGAUGCAGGAACGCACUGCAGCUUCAGCACUCAAAAAUUUGUUUGCUUUCUGUUCUUCCUCGCACAUUACUUUCUUCUGGUGCAUUAGCUUCAAAACCAGCGACCAACGGCUCGAUUUUGAUUCUGCCUCUGGCCCUGAAAUAAAGGACAAUACGGAUUCUAGCACGCUGAUGGUAACUGCUUCUACAUCUCUUAAGACGCUAAUCACAGCUCCAUUCUCGCCAGGAGUACUGAGUUUAUUCUGUAUAUGCUUCAAGUUCUUUAAGGCCUUGCAGAUUGCCUUUUUCAUGGCUUUCCUAGAUGUCAAGUAUUUCCUAAACUCAUUAGCAAGCCCUUCGGCUCCACGUCUUCUGCGUAAAAUUGAU